AUGCUUACUUCAGCAGCACAUUUACUAAAAUUGGAAUAAUAGAGAUUAGCAUGGCCCCUGCACAAGGAUAAUAUGCAAAUUUGUAGUGUUCUAUAUACAAAU